AUUGAACGCUGGCGGCAUGCCUUACACAUGCAAGUCGAACGGCAGCACGGGAGCUUGCUCCUGGUGGCGAGUGGCGAACGGGUGAGUAAUGCAUCGGAACGUGCCCUGAAGUGGGGGAUAACGUAGCGAAAGUUACGCUAAUACCGCAUAUUCUGUGAGCAGGAAAGCAGGGGAUCUUCGGACCUUGCGCUUUUGGAGCGGCCGAUGUCGGAUUAGCUAGUUGGUGGGGUAAAGGCCCACCAAGGCGACGAUCCGUAGCGGGUCUGAGAGGAUGAUCCGCCACACUGGAACUGAGACACGGUCCAGACUCCUACGGGAGGCAGCAGUGGGGAAUUUUGGACAAUGGGCGCAAGCCUGAUCCAGCCAUGCCGCGUGAGUGAAGAAGGCCUCGGUUGUAAGACUCUUCGUGGGUAGAAAGUUGACUUGGGUUAAGUACCCUGAGUAGAUGACGGUA
rnacentral:rRNA from 1 species